GCCGGGCAUGGUGGCGCAUGCCUGUAAUCCCAGCUACUCGGGAGGCUGAGGCAGGAGAAUCGCUUGAACCUGGGAGGAGGAGGUUGCAGUGAGCCGAGAGCAUGUCACUGCACUCCAGCCUGGGCAACAAAGCGAGACUGUGUCUCAA
rnacentral:SRP_RNA from 2 species